UAUCCACCCACCCACUGCAGCAUAGGCACGGCCCCCGGAGACCAUGACUUAUGACAUAUUGUCUCUGGCCACAUGGAAUGCUGGGAAAGGUCAGAGACAACAGUACAAUAAAAAGACUUGCACUACAGCACUUCCUGUUGUAAGUCCUGUGCAAAAAAGCGGGACAGAGCGGUGCACUGAGAUCUAGGUCUCCGGAUGCAAGUGUGAACCUACUCACAGCCUCAAGAUUCAGACUUCUUUCUCACUCAGGCCCGUCUGUACAUGGAGAAUAACCACAGCAUAUGUGCACAAUGACAUCUUUAUUAUUAAAAUCAAUGCAUUCAUGACUGUGUUUUGGCACAGAAGUUCAAGUGUCGGCACAUUACAUCCAUCGAUUACUAAAAAAACAAAAAGAAGUGAAAUCAUUGCAGUUUUUUUUUUUUUUUAUUA